rnacentral:rRNA from 1 species
GACAGAGGGUGCAAACGUUGUUCGGAAUUACUGGGCGUAAAGCGCGUGUAGGCGGCUCUGCAAGUCGGGUGUGAAAUCCCACGGCUCAACCAUGGAAGUGCACUCGAAACUGCAGGGCUAGAGUCCUGGAGAGGAAGGUGGAAUGCUUGGUGUAGAGGUGAAAUUCGUAGAUAUCAAGCGGAACACCGGUGGCGAAGGCGGCCUUCUGGGACAGUGACUGACGCUGAGACGGCGAAAGCGUGGGGAGCAAACAGG